CGUAGGGCGAGCGUUGUCCGGAAUCAUUGGGCGUAAAGCGCGUGUAGGCGGCUCAGUCAGUCUGGUGUGAAACCUUGGGCUCAACCCCAAGCCUGCACUGGAUACUGCUGAGCUUGAGUCCGGGAGGGAGAGCGGAAUUCCUAGUGUAGCGGUGAAAUGCGCAGAUAUUAGGAAGAACACCGGUGGCGAAGGCGGCUCUCUGGAACGGUACUGACGCUGAGACGCGAAAGCGUGGGAGCGAACAGGAUU
rnacentral:rRNA from 1 species